AUUGAACGCUGGCGGCAGGCCUAACACAUGCAAGUCGAGCGGAGCGGCGGACGGGUGCGUAUUGCCUAGGAAUCUGCCUGGUCGUGGGGGAUAACGUCCGGUAACGGGCGCUAAUGCUGCAUCCUCUUAGCAGAGCCUAGGCCGGAUUAGCUAGUUGGUGGGGUAAAGGCCUACCAAGGCGACGAUCCGUAACCGGUCUGAGUGGAAGAUCAGGCACACUGGAACUGAGACACGGUCCAGACUCCUACGGGAGGCAGCAGUGGGGAAUAUUGGACAAUGGGCGAAAGCCUGAUCCAGCCAUGCCGCGUGUGUGAAGAAGGUCUUCGGAUUGUAAAGCACUUUAAGUUGGGAGGCGUUACCAGCAGAAUAAGCACCGGCUAACUUCGUGCCAGCAGCCGCGGUAAUAC
rnacentral:rRNA from 1 species